rnacentral:tRNA from 1 species
CGAUGGUACAAAGGACGUACAUUUUACACACAGAAGGCCGUAGGUUCGAGUCCUACAUCGCCCACCA